rnacentral:tRNA from 3 species
GCCGGGGUAGCUCAGUGGUAGAGCGCUUGCCUGAAGAGCAAGGCGUCGCCAGUUCGAUUCUGGCCUCCGGCACCA